rnacentral:rRNA from 1 species
AGCGGCCGCGGUAAUUCCAGCUCCAAUAGCGUAUAUUAAAGUUGUUGCAGUUAAAAAGCUCGUAGUUGAAUUUCGGGAUCAAUAUGUUGGUCGUGCCUUGGUACGUACUGGCGUCAUUGGUUUCUACCUUCUGAAGAACCUCGAUGUCAUUAAUUUGGUGUCUUGGGGAAUCAGGACUGUUACUUUGAAAAAAUUAGAGUGUUUAAAGCAAGCUCACGCUUGAAUACAUUAGCAUGGAAUAAUGAAAUAGGACGUUUGAUUCUAUUUUGUUGGUUUCUAGGAUCGACGUAAUGAUUAAUAGGGAUAGUUGGGGGCAUUAGUAUUCAAUUGUCAGAGGUGAAAUUCUUGGAUUUAUUGAAGACUAACUACUGCGAAAGCAUUUGCCAAGGAUGUUUUCAUUAAUCAAGAACGAAAGUUAGGGGAUCGAAGACGAUCAGAUACCGUCGUAGU